GACGAACGCUGGCGGCGUGCUUAACACAUGCAAGUCGAACGCUGAUGGCCCAGCUUGCUGGGUUGGAUGAGUGGCGAACGGGUGAGUAACACGUGAGUAACCUGCCCUCUUCUUUGGGAUAACGGUCGGAAACGGCUGCUAAUACCGGGUAUUCACUGUCCUUCGCAUGGGGGGUGGUGGAAAGGUUUUUUCUGGUGGGGGAUGGGCUCGCGGCCUAUCAGCUUGUUGGUGGGGUGAUGGCUUACCAAGGCUUUGACGGGUAACCGGCCUGAGAGGGUGACCGGUCACAUUGGGACUGAGAUACGGCCCAGACUCCUACGGGAGGCAGCAGUGGGGAAUAUUGCACAAUGGGCGAAAGCCUGAUGCAGCGACGCCGCGUGAGGGAUGGAGGCCUUCGGGUUGUAAACCUCUUUCGCUCAUGGUCAAGCCGCAGCUUUGGGUUGUGGUGAGGGUAGUGGGUAAAGAAGCACCGGCUAUCUACGUGCCAGGCCCCGCGGUAAUACGUAGGGUGCGGGCCUUGCCCUGUAACUAAUGGGUGUAAGGGGGCUUGUAAGCGUAUUGCCACGUCUGCCGUGAAAUCCACUGGGGUACUGGGGGUGUUGUUUGGGCUCUAUUUUGUUUUUUGUGCGGU
rnacentral:rRNA from 1 species